CGGGGCUUAAAGUCUUGUAAUUGGAAUGAUGGGAAUUUAAACCUCUUCCAGAGUAUCAAUUGGAGGGCAAGUCUGGUGCCAGCAGCCGCGGUAAUUCCAGCUCCAAUAGCGUAUAUUAAAAUUGUUGCAGUUAAAAAGCUCGUAGUUGAAUUUCUGCUGCAUUGCUCGUGUCCCUCUGGGGUCUGUGCAUGUGGCUUUUUUCGGACGGAGUUUCUUUGUCUGAAUGUUUACUUUGAGAAAAUUAGAGUGCUCAAAGCAGGCUUUCGCCUUGAAUAGUUUAGCAUGGAAUAAUAAAGUAGGACUUUGGUUCUAUUUUGUUGGUUUUAGGUACCAAAGUAAUGGUUAAUAGGAACAGUUGGGGGCAUUCGUAUUUAACUGUCAGAGGUGAAAUUCUUAGAUUUGUUAAAGACGAACUACUGCGAAAGCAUUUGCCAAGGAUGUUUUCAUUAAUCAAGAAC
rnacentral:rRNA from 1 species